rnacentral:lncRNA from 1 species
UGCAGUGUCAGUUGGAGCAGAGAGGAUCGAUGUGUGGCUUUAUGUUUUGGGAUUGCUGAGUUUUUUUUGAUUCUUUAUGUGCUUUGCUUUAGACUUGUUUCCCUUAGUUUUCUUUUAUUGCUAAACAUUUAAAGUGAAUCAGUGUUUUUGGAAAAGGAGUUACACAAGUAUUCAGGUCCAGUCUCACCUUCUCAGCAGCUUUUCAUUUGUUCCUGAAGUUGCUAAAAUUUGCCAACAAAAAUUCAUCUACAGAAGAAUCUCUACAUGGAGCAUGGCGUCAAGGAUGGAGAGGUUUAAAGUUAACAAAUAUGGAUCCAGACACGGAGCACCUCACAAGGAAGGCACACACCCUCAUCAAGAGCUGCUCUAUGGCCACAGAAUCUGGUCAGGAGAAGAGAUUUUCCAGGGCCUACUCCCCUGGGUUCAGGAGGUCUGUGAAGCUGCAAAAAUGACACUGGAAGACUUGGAUGACUUUCAUCAAUCUGAAUCUCUCUGAAUCUGAACAGGUGAAGACUUGUUUUCAGAACUGAAGGAGGAAGUUUAGGAAAACCAGCACAUGAUGUAGAGAAAUUUCAGCACUGUGGCUCAACAGGAGCAGGUCCUGCCUUACCUGAACACCUUUGUCAGUGAUGGAGCUUCCUGUUUGUAUCCAAGCACUGGGUCAGUUAAAGAGGGUGGGGGAGUAAAGAAAGGCCACCUCCUCCCUUGUGUUGGUGUAGCUGAAGUCGUAGACUUUCCACUUUAUUUUUCUGAAUAUUCAUCGUUGUCUGCAAUUUAUCGUUUUAACCACUGAUGUCUGAAGAAAAAAAAGUGUAAUCUCACAGAUGACCUGUUUGUAGUAUUGGGUGGCAGGUUUUCCAUUUCUUUAUACCAGUGGUAUCAAACUGAGAGCUGCAAGAGGUCAUUUAUACAUUUGUAAUCAGCUGUGUAAGAUGGUAGACUGGUAUCACCUGCAUAUUAACUCACCUCCACAUUUACUGUGGGAAAUGGCCACUAAUGUGCGAGUGGGUUUGUUUCACAACUGCUGUGAGCCAGUCGCUGUGAUUGGGCUGGGUUCAUUGAAGGCAGGUGUAUUUGAUUGCACUCUAGUCUACUUAUACUCCAGACUGCUAUUACUGAUGGCCAAAUGAAGCUUUCUGAAGUGUUGAAGCUUGUAUUGGCCAAAAGUAUGAAGAGCAGCUUGACUCUACAACUUGAAAUGAACUGCUUCAUUAUCAUUGCCCAGUCACAGCUUCUGUUUAAUAUCAUGUGAUAAUUCUGUCUGAUAUCAGGCUAACGUUGUGGUGCUUUGAACCUGUAUUUUCUGUGUGACACAAUGUUAUGUCUGUUUCAUGAAUAAAUUUGAUGAAUAAACU